UCGAGAAUCUUCGGCAAUGGGCGAAAGCCUGACCGAGCGAUGCCGCGUGCGGGAUGAAGGCCUUCGGGUUGUAAACCGCUGUCGUAGGGGAGAAAGGGUCGUUGAAGAAACGACUUUGAUCUAUCCUAGGAGGAAGUCCGGGCUAAGUUCGUGCCAGCAGCCGCGGUAACACGAACCGGACAAACGUUAUUCGGAAUUACUGGGCUUAAAGGGUGCGUAGGCGGUGCGGUAAGUGCGGUGUGAAAUCCCACGGCUCAACCGUGGAAUUGCGCUGCAUACUGCCGUGCUAGAGGGAGACAGGGGUAAGCGGAACUGAUGGUGGAGCGGUGAAAUGCGUUGAUAUCAUCAGGAACACCGGUGGCGAAAGCGGCUUACUGGGUCUCUUCUGACGCUGAGGCACGAAAGCUAGGGUAGCGAACGGGAUUAGAUACCCAGGUAGUCCCUGAGCGGGCUGGCAAGGCGCAU
rnacentral:rRNA from 1 species